rnacentral:rRNA from 1 species
UACGGGGGGGGCAAGCGUUGUUCGGAAUUACUGGGCGGAAAGGGCUCGUAGGCGGCCAACUCAGUCGGACGUGAAAUCCCUCGGCUUAACCGGGGAAUGGCGUCCGAUACUGGAUGGCUUGAGUUUGGGAGAGGGAUGCGGAAUUCCAGGUGUAGCGGUGAAAUGCGUAGAUAUCUGGAGGAACACCGGUGGCGAAGGCGGCAUCCUGGACCAACACUGACGCUGAGGAGCGAAAGCCAGGGGAGCAAACGGG